GUAAGUAGGUAGGUAAGUAAGUAGGUGGGUAAGUAGGUAAGGUAAGUAUGUAGGUAGGUAAGUAGGUAGGUAGGUAAUAAGUAGGUAGGUAGGUAAGUAGAAUGUAAGUAGGUAGGUAGGUAGGUAUGCAAGUAGGUAGGUACGCAAGUAGGUAGGUAGGUACGUAAGUGGGUAAGUAGGUAGGUAAAUAGGUAAGCAGGUAGGUGGGUAGGUAGGUGGGUAGGUAAGUAGGUAGGUAAAUAGGUAGGUGGGUAGGUAGGUAAGUAGGUAUGUAGGUAGGUGGGUAGGUAGGUAAGUAG